rnacentral:rRNA from 1 species
GUCCUUUUGAAUUUUAUAUAAGGUCUAGUCUGCCCACUGAAAUUUUGUUUUUAAGGGCCGCAGUAUAUUGACUGUGCAAAGGUAGCAUAAUCAUUAGUUUUUUAAUUAAAAGCUUGUAUGAAUGGCUGAAUGAGGUAAAAUCUGUCUCUAUUUAAAUUAAUUUAGAAUUUAAUUUUUAAGUUAAAAAGCUUAAAUUUUAUUAAAAGACGAGAAGACCCUAUAGAUCUUUAUAUUUGUUAUUAAUAAUAUAAUUAAGAAUUUUUAUAAUUUUUUAAUGAUAAAUAUUUUAUUGGGGUAAUAUGAAGAUUAAAAAAAUUCUUUUUUUUUAUAAACAUAAAUUUAUGAAUUUAUGAUCCAAUAUUAUUGAUUAUAAGAUUAAGUUACCUUAGGGAUAACAGCGUAAUUUUUUUAGAGAGUUCUUAUCGAUAAAAAAGUUUGCGACCUCGAUGUUGGAUUAAAGAUUAUUUCAGGUGUAGAAGUUUGAAAAUUUUGGUCUGUUCGACCAUUAAAUCUUUACAUGAUCUGAGUUCAGACCGGCGUAAGCCAGGUCGGUUUCUAUCUUUAAUAAAAAAUUAUAUUUUAGUACGAAAGGACCAAAUAUUUAAUAUAUUUAUAUUUAAUUUUUGAAUAUUAUUAA